rnacentral:rRNA from 1 species
AGAGUUUGAUCCUGGCUCAGAGCGAACGCUAGCGGCAGGCUUAACACAUGCAAGUCGAGCGGGAUGACUUCGGUCAUCCAGCGGCGCACGGGUGAGUAACACGUAGGUAACGUACCCUUUGGUGAGGAACAACCCAGGGAAACCUGGGCUAAUGCCACCUAUGUCCUUCGGGAUGAAAGUCGAAAGACGCCAGGGGAUCGGCCUGCGGCCCAUUAUCUAAUCCUAGUUGGUAAGGUAACGGCUUACCAAGGGUACGAUGGGUAGCUGGUCUGAGAGGAUGAUCAGCCACACUGGGACUGAGACACGGCCCAGACUCCUACGGGAGGCAGCAGUGGGGAAUAUUGCGCAAUGGGCGAAAGCCUGACGCAGCCAUGCCGCGUGAGUGAUGAAGGCCCUCGGGUCGUAAAGCUCUGUCGGGAGGGACGAAGGGUGGCAACACUCUGACGGUACCUCGCAAGAAAGCACCGGCUAACUCCGUGCCAGCAGCCGCGGUAAUACGGAGGGUGCAAGCGUUGCUCGGAUUUACUGGGCGUAAAGCGACCGCAGGCGGUCGAUUAAGUUUGACGUGAAAGCCCCGGGCUCAACUCGGGAAGUGCGUCAAAAACUGGUCGACUUGAGUAUGGUAGGGGAGACCGGAAUUCCUGGUGUAGCGGUGGAAUCCGCAGAUAUCAGGAGGAACACCGAUGGCGAAGGCAGGUCUCUGGGCCAUAACUGACGCUGAGAAGCGAAAGCAUGGGGAGCGAACAGGAUUAGAUACCCUGGUAGUCCAUGCCGUAAACGUUGGGCGCUAGGUGUGGGGCUCAUUCCACGAGCUCCGUGCCGCAGCUAACGCAUUAAGCGCCCCGCCUGGGGAGUACGGCCGCAAGGCUAAAACUCAAAGGAAUUGACGGGGGCCCGCACAAGCGGCGGAGCAUGCGGAUUAAUUCGAUGCAACGCGAAGAACCUUACCAAGGCUUGACAUAUACCGGAAACAUCUGGAGACAGGUGCCCCGCAAGGUCGGUAUACAGGUGGUGCAUGGUUGUCGUCAGCUCGUGUCGUGAGAUGUUGGGUUAAGUCCCGCAACGAGCGCAACCCUCGUUCUAUGUUGCCAGCGCGUAAUGGCGGGGACUCAUAGGAGACUGCCGGGGUCAACUCGGAGGAAGGUGGGGAUGACGUCAAAUCAUCAUGCCCCUUAUGCCUUGGGCUUCACGCAUGCUACAAUGGCCGGUACAAAGGGCUGCGAUACCGCGAGGUGGAGCGAAUCCCAAAAAACCGGUCUCAGUUCGGAUUGGGGUCUACAACUCGACCCCAUGAAGUCGGAGUCGCUAGUAAUCGCAGAUCAGCAACGCUGCGGUGAAUACGUUCCCGGGCCUUGUACACACCGCCCGUCAAGUCACGAAAGUCGGUAACACCCGAAGCCGGUGGCCCAACCCUUGUGGAGGGAGCCGUCGAAGGUGGGACUGGCGAUUGGGACUAAGUCGGAACAAGGUA